rnacentral:rRNA from 1 species
CAGCAGCCACGGGAAUACGUAGGGUGCAAGCGUUAAUCGGAAUUACUGGGCGUAAAGCGUGCGCAGGCGGUUAUAUAAGUCAGAUGUGAAAUCCCCGGGCUCAACCUGGGAACUGCAUUGAGACUGUAUGGCUAGAGUGUGUCAGAGGGGGGUAGAAUUCCACGUGUAGCAGUGAAAUGCGUAGAUAUGUGGAGGAAUACCGAUGGCGAAGACAGCCCCCUGGGAUAACACUGACGCUCAUGCACGAAAGCGUGGGGAGCAAACAGGAUUAGAUACCCCCGUAGUCCCUGUCUCUUAUACA